UGAAAAUUGCCCUUGCCGUUUUGUUUGGUUGCCGAGUAAUUUUACGAAGUACAAAACAAAAUAUUAGGAGAGUUGUAGUCUUAUAGAGCAUGAUCCUUACCAGAAAAAAGUCUUAUAGGGCAUGAUCGUGCGCGCCACACAUGAGUUGUUGAUUUGCUUCCUAGUUCCACUACCAUCGAGCGCUGGCGUAGGUCGCGCUGCCGGAUGUGCACCUCGCUUCUCCCCUGCCCUCAUCCCCAAUUCAGGUUCCGGCAACGGCAACGGCAACGGCAACGGCUCCGGCUCCGGCUCCGGCUCCGGCUCGUAAGUUUGUUCUUCGUUGCAACGGCACCUAAGUUUGUUCUUUGUUACUUUUUUCUGGGAGCAUCGUCGAUUCUUCAUUGGUUAGUAUUUUCUCAAUUAUGUUUUGGUUAACGUACUUUUGGAGCUACCCGUGAAGACCCUCUUGAGAUUCAGGUGCGUAUGCAAACGAUGGCGCUAUCUGAUCUCUGAGGAUCCUUAUUUCGUUCAACUCCACUUUCAGCAAUCCAAAUCAAAACAACCUCAUCUCUUCUUCUCAUCAGUUCCAGCCCAACCAAUUCAAUUAGGUCCUUUCCCUGUUUUCCUAAAAUCCACAGACAGAGAAGCGAAUCCAAUUAGCAGAUUUGAGUUCCAGUUUGAGAAUAUUUAUGCCACUCUGUUACCUAAUUGUUUCGAUCUGGUUUGCAUUCAAGACGAUGACAUUGUUCAUAUUUGUAACCCUAGUACACAUGAAUUCAUAACAUUGCCAAAAGUUCCUUUCCCCAUUGAUUACUCCUCUGUGGGUUUCGGAUAUGUUCAGUGAAUCGAUGAGUAUAAAGUUGGUUCGUUUUAUUGGUCCUGAUUAUGGGCUUCUAGAAGAUGGAUUCAGUGAAGACAACCAAAUGUCAAGUCUUUACCUUGGGAUCUUCUUGGGCUUGGAGAGACGUUGCAGAUUCUCCAGUGAGCUUUCUUAGUCUUCCAGCAUUUGUUAACGGAGCCAUCCACUGGUUGGUUCAAUAUUAUUCCAUGAUUGACACCGGGAUCUACCAUGGACACAUAUUGAUCCUGAUAAUACAAUCAUCGCAUUUGAUGUUGCGAGUGAAGAAUACAGAUUAGUUCCACAUCCUGAAGGUUGUCUUGAUAUUAGGUCUUUAAAAUAUACUGAACUCCAAUUAGUGGAGGUUCCAUGGACAUAUGGAUGUUUGAAGACUACUACUACGAGAGUGUGGUAAUGAUCGUGUUGGUGGUACAUGGGUGAAACAAUACACUAUUGAUCUGAACGUCUUGCACCGUUGCUACCGAAUGGGGAAAAAAAUUGUUCAAUAUUAUGCACCUAGAGACAUAGAGGACACAAGGGUGCUAAUUGAGACAUCUAGGAAAGGUUUAGGCUAUUACCAUCUCCAACGCAGAAGUUUCAAGGGAUUUGUGCAUAGUAAACAACUGCAAAAGCUACAGUUCAGUUUUUAUUUCAAGAGUUUGCGGUCACUAGAACAAUUAGCACAGGGAAGACAUUGAAGCAGCUGAAGCAAUAGGAAAAUCGGAAAUCCACUCUCUAUGGCUGUAAUUAAUCCGUAAGCAAAUUGUUGGGUGGCUUGCCUUGUCCUUUGAGCAAAGUUUUCAAUGUCGACCUUUCAUGUUCUCCAAUUGAUGAGAAGGAUGAUUAGUGAAAUUAAAGAAUGAAGUGGAAGAGAAUGAAGAUCACUCACUUAGGCAGAGGUUACAAAGAAAUCUUCGAAUGUGCAUGAGGAGUACACCCAUUCUCUUGUCAAGGGAAACUCUAGAACCGGUGCAUGAUCUUAUCGUCUUUUGUAAUGUUAGCUACUUCCUGUACUCAUUUUAAAGCUGAAAUUGUACCAAUAAGUUGCUUACCUGGUACUCCAGUGAAUUGUUAUACUUUCACUAGUAAUUGUGAUUCCUUGAAAGAUCCUGUUUGUAAAGCAAUUUGUGCCAAAAAAACAAGAAAACAUAAGAAAAUACAAGAACUUUUUUUUUCUUCUAAUGGUAACCAAA